rnacentral:misc_RNA from 1 species
UCGGGGCGAGUGCCAAGUUUGUGGCAGAGGCAGGCAGAGAGGGAGGGGUCCUGGCACUGUGCUGGGGGUCGCCACCUGCCCAGCCCAGGCACUCCCGUUCGCGACCCGCACAUAGCAAGUUAUUGUUUUACUAUCUAUAACGAAUGAAUUGUUACUGUGGAAGCAUAUCGCAGGACAAGCGAGAUAUAUUUUCCCUUAGCUUCUGAAUCUCGGUGCCGACGAGAUCCCUGGAGCCAAGGAAGCUCGAAAACUGGUUCAUAACAUUUGAAUCAACUCUUUCAAAGUCAACGGUAUUUGUGACUUUCCGAACGCAUUUCUGAGCUGUGUGGCCGUUGCUGAGAUCUCCGGCUGUUUUGAGCCUAUCAAAACGCGGAGGAGAUCCUUAGAGCUCCCUGAGUAAGACAUCAGCGAGCGAGCGAAGGAGGAGGAGGAGGAGGAGCCCUAGCCGGCCUCGCGAGGGCUGCGUGCGAGGAUGUUGGUGAGGCAGCGGGGAGCCUCGGUGCGGAAAGAGCAUCGCCUGCUGGAGGUCGAGUCUCCCCUCGACCUUACCCUCUGAGGCUCUGGCCUGAGGACCUCCCUCGGCGUCCGCGGCGGGACGAGGGGGACCUGUGAUUGGGUCUCCUCGCAGAACCUUUGCAAGGACCUUUUUGUUUUCUUCGGAGAGCUAGCGAAAGAGUCUUCAGGAUGGUGGGCCGACUGAUAGUUGAGGACGAAUACACGAUCAACGUGAAAGUGCGUCGCCCGCUGGGGGAGGAGGCGUGCCUGGCCCCGCCCACGAUCACCAUCACACCUGACUCGUCCCUCAUCACCCUCACGCCCCCUGACAACUCAACCCUCACCUACGCCCACGCCUCCAAGAGUGUCAAUGGCUCAACGCCCAUGGCAGUUGGCUGCAGCACUCUGCCCCGCAGCUCCACCUCCUCGCGUGGCUCCUGGGCCACGCUGCCGCACCCGAGCCGCCACGCCGCCGGCGCCAAGCCCAGCGGCAGCGGCCUCGAAGUGGCGCUCGCCAGCAAGGGGGACCCGCCCGCCAGGAACUACGUGGGCCUUUCCCUGAACAAAAGUCUGGGGAAGCAAGUGUACGACGGCAAAGAGGCUCUGGUGCUCCGGCAGCAGCAGAUCAUGCCGCCGCCGCCCCCUGAGCGCCGCGCGCCCCCAGGGCUGCUGCCACUGACGGCGCCGUUGUCGCCGUGCUCGCCGGACCUGCCUCUGUCCCCGCCAGCCAGCGUGACGCACGGCUGCCUGCCGCUCCCCAUCAUCCAGGUCUUCGCCGACGACAGCAGUCACGUGGCCACCAACAGGUUCGUCGCGCCCCCGAAAGCAGUGUCCCCGCACGAGGGCGUGAGGCGACAGGGCUCUCCGCGGCCCGUUGACCGCUCGGCCAGCCACACUGCCGCAGGCUGCCUGUACGUGCCGCGGAUUCCCGAGCAUUGCAAGUCGGACAACGGCAUGCUGUACGUUCCGCCCGUGGACGAGCAGAACCUGCGGCAGUCCAAGAAGGACGGGCCGCCGGCCAAAGGGAACUCGCGGCGCAAGAAGGCCAUCGAGGCCAGCCCGGACUCGCAGGGGCUGACGCCGACCGGGGCGCCCGCUCUCCUCCCCGGCAGGGAGCACCCCUCCUCAGACGUCUUCGCACGGCCGCCUCCGGACGCCGUGCCCCCGAGGACGGCCUCCUCCAAGGCUGCCGCUCGGGCUAUUCUGGCCGGCGUCCUGGGGCCUCGGAUGGACCUCGGUUCCCCCGACGGCCACGACUACGGCACGCUCAACAGCAACCGCAACUACGGCAACAUCGAGUUUCGAUCUCCGUCUCCCCGCCCGACCCUGCGUCAGAUUUGUUACAACAACAACAAUGACGACUACGACGGCAGCACCAACAACAACCGCAACAACCAGUACUUGACUGAAGAAUCCUACAACAACAGCCUCAACAAUUACAAAAGCAACCGGACUUCCCCCUUCAGCAGCCCCGGGAAGCGUUCGCCAGAGAAUGAAGGUGAACGUGUCGUGGAAGUGUAUGGAGGGGUGACAAACCACGCCCACGCGCCGCCCACGACCGUGAGUGGGCGUAGCGGCCAUGUCGACCCGUCACACCCACAGCUGGUAGACCCCGCCCUCCUCACCUCGCUAGACCUGGAGAGUGACCACGCCGCCCCCGCCCACGAGAUGUUGGUGACAGACGCCCCCCACUCAACACGCCCGCAUGACCUCAACCACAACAACCACGCCUUCGGGCACAAGUCUUCAGAGGACCACGUGAGCGGCCGCGCAGCGAAGUACAUGGUGACGGAGUCGGGCGACCUGGCCGGCCACGACAACUAUGCCUUCGACCACGACAUCCUUUCGGGCCAGGACAACUACGGCUACGACCCCGGCUACAGCUCCGAGAGGUCCCCAGAGGACGAGGAGGGGCCGCCCCUCUACUGCUCCUCCUCUUCGCCCGCCUCCUCCUCCGCCGCCGUCGCCGCCCAGCGAGAGAGGAGCCCCAGGGAACUGAGGGACCGCAACUCGCUGAAGGUGGCCCCGGGGGAGAUCAUUAACACCCUGGAGGUCAUGCGGCUGGUCCCCUUCAUCACCGAAGGUACAACUUUCCAAGUGACGGUCAUCAAGAACCUCCGAGGCCUGGGCUUGGCCGUGACGGGCGGCAUCGAGUGCGACCUCCCCUACGCGGGCCUCAUACGCAUCAAGAAGCUCUACCCGCAGACGCCGGCCUGGCUCUGCGGUCAGCUGGAGGUGGGGGACAUUCUCCUGCAGGCCAAUGACAAUCCAUUAACAGGACUGACGAGUCACGAGGCAUUAGAAAUGCUCCGCACCGUCGGCCAGGAGGUGACUCUGGAGAUCUGCCGGCCGCCCCCUGGCACCAUGGGGGACGGCGAGGACCUCCCUGACGGCGGCAACACCCUCGGCGUCGUGAGCACCAGCCUCACCACGCCCAACACUAGUCACAACUACCUCUCCCCAUCGCCUUCCUUCUCCUCAUGCGGGGAGUUUGAGGUGCAGCUAACCAAAGUUGCCGGUUCCUUAGGCUUCACACUGCGCAAACAAGACAACAGUAUCUUGGGACACACCAUUCGGAGUCUGGUCAAGGAGCCUGCAAUUUCAGAUGGCAGAUUACGACCCGGAGAUAAGAUAAUUUCGGUUAACAACACAGAUAUGUGUAGCCUGAGUCAUGAGGAAGCUAUAGGCUUCUUACGCACAUGUCCUGAGACUGUUACUCUUAGAUUAUAUAGGGAUGCCAUGCAAACGCCAGUGUCGCCAGUCUCCCCCACGGAACCUGACAUCCUCGCGAAGCCUAAGCCUCUUCGCAAAGAAGCCAGGGACAUGCUCAGUGACUUGGCUUUCAGAAAACAGUCUCCCAGUAAUUCGCCUAGCUUAGCUGGGGCCUCGGGUUCCCCGGGUACCCCCAGAAGACGUAGGCUCCAGAAGACCCCGAGUCCAGAUAUCAAGAGUGUAGUCAUAGAUAGAUGGGACUCGUUGGUGAGAAAAACCGAAGAAUCUCUGCCUGGUACUCCGACUCUCGAAAAGAAAACGUCGCUCAACAGCAUACGAGAGACGGACCACGAGGUCUCCCCGUUCGGCGACAGCCAGACGGACGACUCCCUCUCCACCACCAUCCGCUCACGAAACUCGUCCGCGUCGUCGUCCUCGCUCACCGCCUCCAACUCCGAGUCGAGACCGAAGAGACCCAGCUUCCUCGACCUGAGCAACGGGCGUGGCUGUCCUCGCAAGACACAGUUCACGCCCCCGCACGAGGUAGACCGGUCGUUUCCAUCCCCGCUCGGAGAUGGUGACAAUAGAGCUUAACCGCGGAUGGAACAGUCGUCUAGGCUUUUCGUUGCAACCAAAGGGGGAGAGCACUGUUAUCAAGGCCAUAUAUGCAGACAGUGUUGCAGCCAAAGAUGGACGACUGAAAAUGGGGGAUAUUGUUGUAAAGGUGAAUGGCAUUGACGUGGUAGGAUGGGAAACUGAAUCUGUAAUUGAUCUGCUUCGUAAGACAAGAGGGAAAAUUUCGGUCACUGUUCUUCAGCCACUGAGUUGAACCCAAGCCUACUAAUGGUAGAG